rnacentral:rRNA from 1 species
AUGCAGUCGAGCGGCAGCACAGAGUAGAGUUUACUUCACUGAGGUGGCGAGCGGCGGACGGGUGAGUAAUGCCUAGGGAUCUGCCCAGUCGAGGGGGAUAACAGUUGGAAACGACUGCUAAUACCGCAUACGCCCUACGGGGGAAAGAGGGGGACCUUCGGGCCUCUCGCGAUUGGAUGAACCUAGGUGGGAUUAGCUAGUUGGUGAGGUAAUGGCUCACCAAGGCGACGAUCCCUAGCUGUUCUGAGAGGAUGAUCAGCCACACUGGGACUGAGACACGGCCCAGACUCCUACGGGAGGCAGCAGUGGGGAAUAUUGCACAAUGGGGGAAACCCUGAUGCAGCCAUGCCGCGUGUGUGAAGAAGGCCUUCGGGUUGUAAAGCACUUUCAGUAGGGAGGAAAGGGUGAGUCUUAAUACGGCUCAUCUGUGACGUUACCUACAGAAGAAGGACCGGCUAACUCCGUGCCAGCAGCCGCGGUAAUACGGAGGGUCCGAGCGUUAAUCGGAAUUACUGGGCGUAAAGCGUGCGCAGGCGGUUUGUUAAGCGAGAUGUGAAAGCCCUGGGCUCAACCUAGGAAUAGCAUUUCGAACUGGCGAACUAGAGUCUUGUAGAGGGGGGUAGAAUUCCAGGUGUAGCGGUGAAAUGCGUAGAGAUCUGGAGGAAUACCGGUGGCGAAGG